rnacentral:rRNA from 1 species
AGUGAACGCUGGCGGUAGGCCUAACACAUGCAAGUCGAACGGCAGCACAGUAAGAGCUUGCUCUUACGGGUGGCGAGUGGCGGACGGGUGAGGAAUACAUCGCAAUCUACUUUUUCGUGGGGGAUAACGUAGGGAAACUUACGCUAAUACCGCAUACGACCAACGGGUGAAAGCAGGGGAUCUUCGGACCUUGCGCGAUUGUAUGAGCCGAUGUCGGAUUAGCUAGUUGGCGGGGUAAAGGCCCACCAAGGCGACGAUCCGUAGCUGGUCUGAGAGGAUGAUCAGCCACACUGGAACUGAGACACGGUCCAGACUCCUACGGGAGGCAGCAGUGGGGAAUAUUGGACAAUGGGCGCAAGCCUGAUCCAGCCAUACCGCGUGGGUGAAGAAGGCCUUCGGGUUGUAAAGCCCUUUUAUUGGGAAAGAAAAGCAGCAGGUUAAUACCCCGCUGUUCUGACGGUACCCAAAGAAUAAGCACCGGCUAACUUCGUG